GAAUAGCUCAGCCGGUUAGAGCACUUGACUGUUAAUCAGGGGGUCGUUGGUUCGAGUCCAACUUCG
rnacentral:tRNA from 6 species